rnacentral:rRNA from 1 species
ACGAACGCUGGCGGCACGCUUAACACAUGCAAGUCGAACGAGAGAAGAGAAGCUUGCUUUUCUGAUCUAGUGGCGGACGGGUGAGUAACACGUGAGCAAUCUGCCUUUCAGAGGGGGAUACCGAUUGGAAACGAUCGUUAAUACCGCAUAAUAUAAUUGAACCGCAUGAUUUGAUUAUCAAAGAUUUAUCGCUGAAAGAUGAGCUCGCGUCUGAUUAGCUAGUUGGUAAGGUAACGGCUUACCAAGGCGACGAUCAGUAGCCGGACUGAGAGGUUGAUCGGCCACAUUGGGACUGAGACACGGCCCAGACUCCUACGGGAGGCAGCAGUGGGGAAUAUUGCACAAUGGAGGAAACUCUGAUGCAGCGAUGCCGCGUGAGGGAAGAAGGUUUUAGGAUUGUAAACCUCUGUCUUCAGGGACGAAAAAAGACGGUACCUGAGGAGGAAGCUCCGGCUAACUACGUGCCAGCAGCCGCGGUAAUACGUAGGGAGCGAGCGUUGUCCGGAAUUACUGGGUGUAAAGGGAGCGUAGGCGGGAUCGCAAGUCAGAUGUGAAAACUAUGGGCUUAACCCAUAAACUGCAUUUGAAACUGUGGUUCUUGAGUGAAGUAGAGGUAAGCGGAAUUCCUAGUGUAGCGGUGAAAUGCGUAGAUAUUAGGAGGAACAUCAGUGGCGAAGGCGGCUUACUGGGCUUUAACUGACGCUGAGGCUCGAAAGCGUGGGGAGCAAACAGGAUUAGAUACCCUGGUAGUCCACGCCGUAAACGAUGAUUACUAGGUGUGGGAGGAUUGACCCCUUCCGUGCCGCAGUUAACACAAUAAGUAAUCCACCUGGGGAGUACGACCGCAAGGUUGAAACUCAAAGGAAUUGACGGGGGCCCGCACAAGCAGUGGAGUAUGUGGAUUAAUUCGAAGCAACGCGAAGAACCUUACCAGGUCUUGACAUCGUAUGCAUAGCUCAGAGAUGAGUGAAAUCUCUUCGGAGACAUAUAGACAGGUGGUGCAUGGUUGUCGUCAGCUCGUGUCGUGAGAUGUUGGGUUAAGUCCCGCAACGAGCGCAACCCUUACUGUUAGUUGCUACGCAAGAGCACUCUAGCAGGACUGCCGUUGACAAAACGGAGGAAGGUGGGGAUGACGUCAAAUCAUCAUGCCCCUUAUGACCUGGGCCUCACACGUACUACAAUGGCUGUUAACAGAGGGAUGCAAAGCCGCGAGGUGGAGCGAACCCCUAAAAGCAGUCUUAGUUCGGAUUGUAGGCUGCAACCCGCCUACAUGAAGUCGGAAUUGCUAGUAAUCGCAGAUCAGCAUGCUGCGGUGAAUACGUUCCCGGGCCUUGUACACACCGCCCGUCACGCCAUGGGAGUCGGUAACACCCGAAGCCUGUAGUCUAACCGCAAGGAGGACGCAGUCGAAGGUGGGAUUGAUGACUGGGGUG